UGCGUAGGUGGCGAGGUAAGUUUGAUGUGAAAUCUCCGGGCUUAACCCGGAAACUGCAUUGAAUACUAUCUCGCUCGAGGGUUGGAGGGGGGACUGGAAUACUUGGUGUAGCAGUGAAAUGCGUAGAUAUCAAGUGGAACACCAGUGGCGAAGGCGAGUCCCUGGACAACUCCUGACACUGAGGCACGAAAGCUAGGGGAGCAAACA
rnacentral:rRNA from 1 species